GAUGAACGCUGGCGGCGUGCCUAAUACAUGCAAGUCGAGCGAACGGACGAGAAGCUUGCUUCUCUGAUGUUAGCGGCGGACGGGUGAGUAACACGUGGAUAACCUACCUAUAAGACUGGGAUAACUUCGGGAAACCGGAGCUAAUACCGGAUAAUAUUUUGAACCGCAUGGUUCAAAAGUGAAAGACGGUCUUGCUGUCACUUAUAGAUGGAUCCGCGCUGCAUUUGCUAGUUGGUAAGGUAACGGCUUACCAAGGCAACGACGCAUAGCCGACCUGAGAGGGUGAUCGGCCACACUGGAACUGAGACACGGUCCAGACUCCUACGGGAGGCAGAAGUAGGGAAUAUUCCGCAAUGGGCGAAAGCCUGACGGAGCAACGCCGCGUGAGUGAUGAAGGUCUUCGGAUCGUAAAACUCUGUUAUUAGGGAAGAACAUAUGUGUAAGUAACUGUGCACAUCUUGACGGUACCUAAUCAGAAAGCCACGGCUAACUACGUG
rnacentral:rRNA from 1 species